GGGCUUGUGUAGCCGCUAGAUGAAGCUUGUAUAUGGCGCCAAACAAGAGGCACCGCCACUGAAACUUUAGGAGCCGAGAACAAAGCUAAAUCCACAGAGAAGUUGUGCAAUUUGCGGGGCAGCAUCCUGGUGGGCUUGGAGUUCCUGCUGUUGGCAUGGCGUUCCCUGGCUACGUUACUCAGCCCAAUGGAAUGGGGAAUUCAGAAAUGACAUGGCUACCUAUUUUGGCUGGUGCUGCUGGGGCUUUUGGCUGCUUCACCUUAUAUCACAAUGGAUGGUGCUUAUCAUGCUAUGCCAUCUGGCCAGACCUCUGCAUUGCCUCCUAC